rnacentral:tRNA from 1 species
UUAGCAGUAGCUCAGUGGUAGAGCUCCCGCUUUGUACGCGGGAAGACCUGGGUUCGAUUCCGGGUUGCUUUU